GGCGGGGGCGCUGCGCGGUCACGCGGCGGCGGUCACGCGCGGCCGAGCAGGAAGCGGCGCGGGCGGGCGCGGCCGCGGGGUCCCGGUGCCCGCCGGAGCGGGCUGUGCCGGGCGGGACCGGGCCGGGCGAUGCGGUGCGUGCUUAUCGCCAGCGCCGCGGCCGAGCUGCUCUUCUACUGGGCCGAUGCGGCCUUCGCCCGCCGCCUGCGGCCGCCGCCCGGGCCCGGCGCCGCGCAGGCCCCGGCGCUGGAGGACACCCUCAACACGCUGUUCGCCCCCCUCAUCAUCUCGUGCACGGCGCUGCUGGAGAAGCUCUCGGACACCUACACCUGCUUCACGGCCCAGCCCGGGCGGCAGCUCCACGUGCUGCACAUGUUCGGGGACUGCCUGUAUGUGGCAGUGAACGGCGACGGCGCCGAGAGCGAGGACGACCUGCGCCGCAAGCUCUUCGUGCUGCGGCGCCUGGUGGAGGCUCACUGCGGCCUCGUGGCACUGGACUCCCACCUCGUCCGCAAGGAGUUGCGGCCGGCCAAUUCGGAGCAGCGCGAGCGCGUUUGGGGCCUCCUCCGGGGUCUGCUGGAGACCUACAGCCGCCUGCGCGAGGAGGACCAGAGCUUUGCCGUGGAGGCCGUGGAGCGGCUGAUCCACCCGCAGCUGUGCGAGCAGUGCAUCGAGUUCCUGGAGCGGCAGGUGGUGCAGCACAUCAACGGCAGCCCUGAGCGCGGCGGCGACGAGGUGGGCCAUGCCUUCCUCCUGGUGAACACCAAGCUGCUGGCCUUCUACUCCAGCCGCAACGCCAGCUCCAUCCGCCCCGCGGACCUGCUUGUCCUCAUCCUCCUUGUGCAGGACUUGUAUCCCAGCCAGAGCGCUGAGGAGGAGCUCAGCCCCCAGCCUGCAGCGGGGAAGGCCUUGCUCCAGGUACCCAAAAGAAGCGAAAGCAUCCCCAUGAGCAGCCCCAGCUCCCACGCGGCUGCGGGGAAGGAGUCAGAUGAUCAGGACACGGACGAUCUCUCCGCGCCGGAGGUGUACUACACACCCGAGCCCUCGCCGGGCAGACACAGCACGGGCAGCGAGAGCUGGUCGGAGGGCCCUGAACCGCUGGGCACUGGGGAGGCAGACAGCACCGAUGUCCAGAUGGCGGAGGACUUGCUCCAGACUUUGGGGCCUCUGGUCCCUGAAGCUUCAAACCCCCGAAGGGUCUUCCUGGAUGCCAACCUGCCGGAAGGCUACUGCCCCUUGCUGCCCCACACCAUGCACUGCCUCCCACUCUGGCCUGGCAUCUCCCUCGUGCUGCUGACCAAGGGCCCCAUGACCCACGUGGCCGUCACCUUGCACCAGCUGCUCGAUGGUUUCUUGGUGCUGGAAAAGAAGUUGGAAGAGGGGCAGGAGGUGGGAGCCCCGCGCGCCUACCCCUUCCUGGCCGAGCUGCGGCAACGCAUGGACAAGUUUGUGAAGAAGCUGAGCGGGCAGGACGUCCAGUUGCAGAACGCCUGGGUGGAGUUUAAGAACAAGCUCUUCUCCCGCAGCGAGCCUGGGAACUUGCUGGAGGUGCUGCAAGCGCUGGCCAACGUGAAGCGGCAGCUCUGCUCCGUGUAUCGCCAGCUCUUCCUGACCUCCGCCAGCCAGAGCCUGUCACAGGGCCUGCGGGACCGUGCCCAGAAGCUGAUGAGGGAGAAGCUGCUGGACUGGAGGGAUUUUCUGCUGGUGAAGAGCAGGCGCAAUAUCACCAUGGUGUCGUACCUGGAGGACUUUCCUGGCCUGGUGCACUUCAUCUAUGUCGACCGCACGGCUGGGCAGAUGAUGGCACCAUCACUUAGCGUGACAGAGAAAUCCAGCUCGGAGCUGGGCAAGGGCCCCCUUGCCCAGUUCAUCAAGAGCAAGGUCUGGUCCCUGAUCGGGUUGGCCCGGCGUUACCUGCAGAAGGGCUACACGACACUCAUGCUGCAGGACGGUGACUACUGCUGCUCCUACUUCCUCUGGUUUGAGAACGAGCUGGCUCCGUCGCUUGUCCCCUCCCCGGUACAGUCCUGCCCUCUGCUGUCACCAUUCCCCAGGGCUGCAAGCUGGAGGUGAUAGAGGUGCCGGUUCUCUCUGAUGACUCUGCUCCCAUCGGGAUGUUGGCAGGAGACUACUACAGGAAGCUGCUGCGUUACUACAGCAAGAGCCACCAGGCAGAGGUGGUGAAGUGCUAUGAGCUGCUGACCGUGCACCUGGGCAUCAUCCCCUCCGAGCUCGUGGUGCAGCAGGCCUGCGACUUGGCCCGGCGCCUCUGGGAGCCCUCCCGCAUCCCCCUGCUCUGAGCCCAAGGCCAGGCUCGGCCGAGAUUAAAGUGGGUGUUCACACA